AGUAACGGCGAGUGAAGCGGCAACAGCUCAAAUUUGAAAUCUGGCUCUUUCAGGGUCCGAGUUGUAAUUUGUAGAAGAUGCUUCGGGUGUGGCUCUGGUCUAAGUUCCUUGGAACAGGACGUCAUAGAGGGUGAGAAUCCCGUAUGUGACUGGCUGCCUUCGCCUAUGUGAAGCUCUUUCGACGAGUCGAGUUGUUUGGGA
rnacentral:rRNA from 1 species